rnacentral:rRNA from 1 species
AUGUAUAGCAAUAGCUACUUGCAUCAUUGUAAAUAUGAUGCAAGAUCGACUAUGUCGAAUAAAAUUCUAGGUAGAAUUAUGAUAAUGACAUUGUCUGCCUAUGUGUCUUGACCAAAUUACGUGCCAGCAGUCGCGGUAAUACGUAGAAGACUAGUGUUAUUCAUGUUUAAUCGGUUUAAAGGGUACCUAGACGGUAAAUCAAGCCUAAAAGGAAAUAAAUGAAGGGACUAAUUUACUAGAGUUACUUAUGAGGGGGUAUUAAAGUACUGCUGGUGUAGAGAUGAAAUUCUGUCAUACCUCUUUUCAAUAGAAAAAUAAUGGCACAGGUAUAGGCGAAAGCAUCCCCUUAUGUGAUAACUGACGUUGAGGGACGAAGGCUUUGUGUAGCGAACAGGAUUAGAUACCCCAGUAGUCAAAGCAGAAAAUGAUGAAUGUCAUAGAUUAGAUAUAUAAGUUUAUUCUAUAAAUGAAAGUGUAAGCAUUCCACCUCAAGAGUAAUUUGGCAACAUUGGAACUGAAAUCAUUAGACCGUUUCUGAAACCAGUAGUGAAGUAUGUUGUUUAAUUUGAUGAUCCGCAAAAAACCUUACCACAAUUUGAAUAUUUAUAUCUUAUAUUGUUUUUUUUUAACUUUAUUCUAAUUUUCUACUUAAAAGAAGACAAUAACAAGAAAAAAGAGACAAUAAGAUAUAUUUACAAGCGUUGCACGGCUGUCUUCAGUUAAUGUCGCGAGACUAUGGUUAGUUCCAUUAAAUUAACGUAAACCCUUACUUUAUUUUUAUAUAGAGUAGUUCCCCGCUAUAUUGGAUAUGAUAACAGGGACUAAGAC